AGUUCCGGUCAGGCGCGCAUCAUUCUUCAUAACAAAGAAAGCGCCCGAAUUGUGCAGUAGAGACGAUUACUUUAGUCUCCGUUUCAAAUUGAUUGCUACAGGUAUGUAAUAGCACGUUUAAACUUUCUAAUAUCGAAAGAACAUGUCAUAAAAAAACGUUAAGGUAUUAUCACGUUUAGUUAAGGUUUAAGGUUCUAUUUUUGUGUCAAACUGAGUGAGUAAAGAACGCAGUCAAACACGAGCUGAAUGUCAACAUUAAAGAUGAAGAAGAGGAGAAGAUUGGGAAAUCUGUUUCUCAUGACUAUGUCCAAACCUACAUUCAUUCACUGGGUCCUGAUUGUGACAGUGGAGCCCAGUUUGCACUGCAGGAUCCAGAGAUGGCAUCAGUGAAGCUGGAAGACUGCAGUCAAACACUGGAGCUGAAUGUCAUCAUUAAAGAUGAGGAGGAGGAGAAGAUUGGGAAAUCUGUUUCUCAUGGAAACCAUGUUGACACAUUCUCUACAUCCAGAGAGCAACAGCAGGAAGAUCAUAGAGCUAAGAGGUCUCAUCACUGCCCACAUUGUGAGGAGAUUUUCCCAUUUCUAUCAAAGCU